ensembl:lncRNA
GUUGUCUGUUAGCUGCGUGUGAAUUUAUGGGGGAAAGUAUUGUGACUUCGUCAACCACCAACAUGUUCGUCUCGUCUCGUUAACGAAAGUUAGAAUAGAUUUAGUCAUAGUUUUUAUUUGUUAAGAUCGUUUUUGUCACGUUUUAGUCAGAAAAGAGGGCGUUAACAAAACAUUUUCGUCGACGAAAUUAACACUGCUGCAUUGUUCAUACAUUAUUACCUUGCACAUUUUCUACUACCCUACAUGCCUUAGCUUUUAUUCGUUAAGCAGUUUCCUUUUCUAUUUUGCAACAUGCCCCAAAAUGAAUAGGAUUGCAGUAUUUCAGUGAAAGUGUCUUGAAGUCACCACCCUAAUUUAGGCAUUAGUAACAUUCAUGCUCCAGAAAAAUUAUUUUAAAUUCAUGCACAUUUACAUGUUACUGUCUCCUUUUACAGCAAUGGGAGGAGCAUUUUCUAGUGAGCCAUGGAGGGAAGUGACAAAAGGUUACCAGGACAAUCUGGAUUUUGUGAAAUCUAUACAAACCUCGAAAGCCACAAGUCAAACGUCUCAG